UUAACAGACUCUUAUCGAGUGUAAAAUUAUCUGCAAUGCCGUUGUGAAUACCAGUGGAACUCCUAAAGUACUCAGCUAUAUAUGUCAAGACGUGAUGAUUGUCUCUGCGAGAAGUGUAAACGUAAUACAGGCUGACUGUCAAAGCGUCACAAGAGCCUGUUGGAUUAUACUUCAGAGAAACAACAUGGGGUCGUUUUAAGCAGGAACACAGCCGUCUUUUUACAUCUUAUUGCACCACUUCAUUUGAUAAAAAAUAAGAGAGCCCGAUAAAAGAAGGUCUAUGUAGACGACACUCCGCUGAUGGCUUAAUACAGUGUUAUCAUACUGAGGGCGGUACCGGCUGCUGUGAGGAUCGUCAAAGUUCAAACAUCGGCUACCACAAACUCAUGAAAUAUGCAGGAGGCUAAUUUUGUGUUUCAUGGAGGUUGUCCAUCACUGUGGUCAGACGAGUGACCUUUGUGACUGUGAAUAUGUGUAAAACGUUAAUAGAAAUUGUAUGAAACGUUCGGAAAUGUGAUUAUGUUGUACAUUUGAUGUAUUGCUAAAUUUGUGUAAAGCGCAUAUGAUAAGGCAUCAAUCUAUAGACCAUCACGUUCUGUUCGACAGUGAUACAGCUUUUCGAAUAUGUACCAGUAAUAUGUAAUAUUUUUUCGUAGGGCGUCCUUCGAGUAUCGACUCUAGCUACAAUAGAUUCAAAAUCAUGAAAUAACGCAAAUAAGUGCUAUUUGUAUCAAUAUUACAAAUAACAAUUAACAUGAUAUGAAGGAAAGUUAAAGGCGUCACGAGACAAGGCAGCGUAACAGUAGUGAUUUAAACCUCUUCUAUAUAUAUCAAACAUAGAAAUCUAAGAGGUAGCAAGCAAAUCAUCUCCGCUGUCUAUGAAACAUGGGACAUUCCUUUUCGUUCUUAUGUUUACACUGCAUUAUUAUGUUAUCGUGAUGUGAGAGCCUACACUGGUGAUAAUACUAUUAGUUUGAUUGGCAGCAAAUGUAUUCACGGGGAAAUACAUUUAUUUUGAGUUAAGUGCCAGGUUUGGUGACUAGUGAAGGUCAUACGGUAUUUCUGGGUAAAUGACGCGACACCCCACACUUCAACAGGAGAUGAUUGAGUUCAUUAUGGACACAUAUCUGUCCAUCGAUUUUCCAUUGAACUGUCUGUUCUGUUUAUUCCGACAAGGUUGAUGUUGACAUCGCUCUGAGGCAGUUUAAAUACCAAUGUACGAAAGAAACCAUUUCGUAAAGAUGUAUAAUUCAGGAAGUCGAGAACAGCAGACAUGUGUCCAGCACAAUAAACAAGUAUUAACGAUACAUAUAUCUCAUAAAGAGACCACAAUUGUGGCUGUAAGGAGUCUUUCAGACAAAUAAAGAAACCAUGAUGAGAAUAGCUCGAACAUACAAGUAGGAUAUAGACAUUAAUAAACCAAUGAAUGCCACUAUAAGUCAUUUGCCUUCAAACGUUACUGCAAUUAGUGAUAUCGCUUCCAAAAACAACACAUCUUCAAUAAUUGAAUUAAGACAACAACAUUAUGUAAUUUACCUGUGUUACAUUGAAUGUCAUAUUUUGAAAAAAAUUAAAAAGUAAAUAAAGAUGCAUAAAAAAUA